rnacentral:rRNA from 1 species
GGUUAAGUGGGAAACGAUGUGGGAAGGCCCAGACAGCCAGGAUGUUGGCUUAGAAGCAGCCAUCAUUUAAAGAAAGCGUAAUAGCUCACUGGUCGAGUCGGCCUGCGCGGAAGAUGUAACGGGGCUAUUCGCCGCGGCGGUAGCCG